rnacentral:rRNA from 1 species
UGGGGAAUAUUGGACAAUGGGCGCAAGCCUGAUCCAGCAAUACCGCGUGUGUGAAGAAGGCCUGAGGGUUGUAAAGCACUUUCAAUAGGGAGGAAAAAGCAUAGGCGAAUACCCUGUGCCUUGACAUUACCUAUAGAAGAAGCACCGGCUAACUCCGUGCCAGCAGCCGCGGUAAUACGGAGGGUGCGAGCGUUAAUCGGAAUUACUGGGCGUAAAGCGUGCGUAGGCGGCUUGUUAAGUCAGAUGUGAAAGCCCUGGGCUCAACCUGGGAACUGCAUUUGAAACUGGGAGGCUAGAGUUAGGUAGAGGGAAGUGGAAUUCCGGGUGUAGCGGUGAAAUGCGUAGAUAUCCGGAGGAACACCAGUGGCGAAGGCGGCUUCCUGGACCCAAACUGACGCUGAGGUACGAAAGCGUGGGUAGCAAACA